GGGGGGUUGCGGCGUGCUUACACAUGCAAGUCGAACGAUGAAGCCCUUCGGGGUGGAUUAGUGGCGAACGGGUGAGUAACACGUGGGCAAUCUGCCCUUCACUCUGGGACAAGCCCUGGAAACGGGGUCUAAUACCGGAUAACACUUUCCCCCUCCUGGGGGAAGGUUGAAAGCUCCGGCGGUGAAGGAUGAGCCCGCGGCCUAUCAGCUAGUUGGUGGGGUAAUGGCCUACCAAGGCGACGACGGGUAGCCGGCCUGAGAGGGCGACCGGCCACACUGGGACUGAGACACGGCCCAGACUCCUACGGGAGGCAGCAGUGGGGAAUAUUGCACAAUGGGCGAAAGCCUGAUGCAGCGACGCCGCGUGAGGGAUGACGGCCUUCGGGUUGUAAACCUCUUUCAGCAGGGAAGAAGCGAAAGUGACGGUACCUGCAGAAGAAGCGCCGGCUAACUACGUGCCAGCAGCCGCGGUAAUACGUAGGGCGCAAGCGUUGUCCGGAAUUAUUGGGCGUAAAGAGCUCGUAGGCGGCUUGUCACGUCGGUUGUGAAAGCCCGGAGCUUAACUCCGGGUCUGCAGUCGAUACGGGCAAGCUAUAAUGUG
rnacentral:rRNA from 1 species